rnacentral:misc_RNA from 1 species
UAUAUUAUAUGUAAAAUUAUUCAAACUAAAAUAAUCGUUAUACACAGUGUCUCGGUAAUUGUGGUAUAGUAAGGAGGAGAUUCUAUGUGGAAAAAUAAGUCGAAAAUAUAAAACAAAAUAUUUCUACGCUUCGUUUUUCGAGAAGAUCAAGUUAAAGAAAAACUUGUGAAUACACGUUGAUGGAGAGAAAAGAGAGAGACCCGAGCGAACGAGCAACUCCGAAGCGUUCGAGGUGCUGGACGCGACCCUGGUGGGCUCCAGUACACGACUGAAGCGCCCUCUCGCCCCGCCCAGAGGCGCAGCGGCGCUUACGGCCGCGAGGUUCGACGGGACGUCGAUCGAUCCACCGACUGGCCCCACCACUCGUGCCUAUGGGAUGGAUGGCGAGGAGAAAUCACACAACACGCAUGCGCGGGAUUUUCAUCGAGAUUCGAGGCGAGAAUCGACUGAUGCCUCGCGGGAUCGAAAACGCGCUCGAGCGUUUGAAAUUUUCCCUACCACGAUUCCCUACCACUAUGCAAGGGACAUUUUGAGGUUUUAAUUUUUAUGCGUCGGAUUUGGCAAAUCCGCAAAUUAUUGUUGUACGUGGAUUUUUAUGCGAUUAUUUUAUGCGAAAUUUAAGAUAUACAUAAAAUAUCCAAUGUAACGUAUUCGAAAUUUUUGAUAGAUAAAGCCAAUUUUGUACGACGACAUAGAUUCUAUUUCUCUACUUACGUUUAUAAAGCUACAAAUUUGCACAAAAAUUCGCGAUUUAGUUGUAUGUUUGUUUAUAGAUGUAGUUGAUAGAAGGGCGACAUAAUGUUUCGAAACUCAUAUUAUUGAAUUUGAAAAUGGAAAUAUUUGAAAAUUAAGCAUCGAUGAA